AUGCUUGCUUUUCGGGAUUCACUUGAAGUGUGCGAGCUGACUGAUUUGGGUUUUGUUGGAAGGCCAUAUACUUUUGAUAAUAAGAGGAGUGGUGCAGCAAAUGUUAAAGUACGGUUAGAUCGUGGAGUUGCAAAUCUGGAUUGGAGGUACAUGGUCCCUGCUGCCUCAAUCCAUCAUCUUGUUUCACCCCGGUCGGAUCAUUGUCCAUUGCUUGUCAAGUGCGAAGCUGAUUCGGGCCCAAAACCUAAGAAAGUUAAGCGCUAUGAGAUCAUGUGGGAGAGGGAUUCUGCCCUCAUAGAAGUUAUUGCAAACAUGUGGAAAGAUGCGGGCCAAAAACGUACACUUGGGGAGAUUGGUCAAGCUUUGGGGAAGGUAAUGACCUCGUUGCAUCAAUGGAGCAGAGCCAAAAUUGGCAAUGUAACUAGGGAGAUUGAGAAGUCUCGUACGAGGCUAGAGGAGCUAAUGAAUAUGAAUGCGGACCGAGCCGAACUGAGAAAGGAGGAGGAUAAAAUGAAUGAAUUACUAUACCGAGAAGAGAUGAUGUGGUUGCAAAGGUCUCGUAUUGCUUGGUUAAAAGAAGGGGACCGAAAUACAAAAUUUUUCCAUGCCAAAGCGAUCUGGCGGGCGAGGAAAAACAAUAUUAAAAAACUUGAAGAUACAAAUGGGGUUGUUCAUUCUGGAGAUGCAAUGGGCCAGGCUGCUACUUACUUUCAAAACAUUUUCACUGCCGACCCCUUGCUUGAUCCAUCUCCUAUUGUACAGCUCAUGCAAACACAUGUUAAUGAUGAAAUUAAUGAGUCUUUAUGUGCUGAGUUUACUGAACAGGAGAUAGCGGAUGCUGUUUUCCAAAUUGGACCGCUAAAAGCCCCGGGAUUGGAUGGAUUUCCUGCUCGAUUCUUCCAAAGAAACUGGUCCACGGUGCGUGCAGAUGUUAUAGCAGCAGUUACAAGACACCAUGGACUGAUCAAGGAUGAAAAUCUUGUGUGUUCUAAUGGCCAGAGCAACUCCCUCCGUCCCAAAAUACUUUGA
rnacentral:rRNA from 1 species